AAACCGCUGCUAAUACCGCAUACCUUAUUAAGAUUGCAUGGUCAUAAUAAGAAAGAGUUAUCGCCAUAGGAUGGGCCCGCGUCUGAUUAGCCAGUUGGUAGGGUAACGGCCUACCAAAGUAACGAUCAGUAGCCGGCCUGAGAGGGUGAACGGCCACAUUGGGACUGAGACACGGCCCAUACUCCUACGGGAGGCAGCAGUGGGGGAUAUUGCACAAUGGGGGGAACCCUGAUGCAGCAACGCCGCGUGAGUGAAGAAGUAUUUCGGUAUGUAAAGCUCUAUCAGCAGGGAAGAUGAUGACGGUACCUGCAUAAGAAGCCCCGGCUAACUA
rnacentral:rRNA from 1 species